AGACUAUGAUGAAGACAACGUCUAUGUAAUUUCUUAUAUCUUUCCCAAGCUUCGUACAACGAUUCAGAAUCUUCUUGCAUGAAUGAUGUAAUAUCAUUCCUCAUUUU
rnacentral:snoRNA from 1 species